rnacentral:rRNA from 1 species
AGAACGAACGCUGGCGGCAUGCCUAACACAUGCAAGUCGAACGCUCCUGGAGCUUCGGUCUCAGGGGAGUGGCGCACGGGUGAGUAGCGCGUGGGAACCUGCCCUGUUGUGGGGGAUAACCGAGGGAAACUUCGGCUAAUACCGCAUAAGCCGGGAAACCGGGAAAGAUUUAUCGCGACAGGAGGGGCCCGCGUCGGAUUAGCUAGUUGGUGGGGUAACGGCCCACCAAGGCAGUGAUCCGUAGCUGGUCUGAGAGGAUGAUCAGCCACACUGGGACUGAGACACGGCCCAGACUCCUACGGGAGGCAGCAGUGGGAAUAUUGGACAAUGGGCGCAAGCCUGAUCCAGCAAUGCCGCGUGAGUGAUGAAGGCCUUAGGGUUGUAAAGCUCUUUCGCCGCGACGAUGAUGGACGGUAGCGGGAGAAGGACGCCCGGCUAACUUCGCGCCAGCAGCCGC